rnacentral:rRNA from 1 species
UACGGAGGAUGCGAGCGUUAUCCGGAUUUAUUGGGUUUAAAGGGUGCGUAGGCGGCUUUUUAAGUCAGCGGUGAAAUUUUGCAGCUUAACUGUAACAGUGCCGUUGAUACUGGGGAGCUAGGAUUUGGUUGCUGUGGGUGGAAUGUGUGGUGUAGCGGUGGAAUGCGCAGAGAUCAGGAGGAAUACCGAAGGCGAAGGCAGUCUUCCAAGCCGUUAUUGACGCUCAACUGCGAAGGUGUGGGUAUCAAACAGGAUUAGAUACCCGUGUAGU